UACGUAGGGUGCAAGCGUUAUCCGGAAUUAUUGGGCGUAAAGAGCUCGUAGGCGGUUUGUCGCGUCUGCUGUGAAAACUGGAGGCUCAACCUCCAGCCUGCAGUGGGUACGGGCAGACUAGAGUGCGGUAGGGGAGAUUGGAAUUCCUGGUGUAGCGGUGGAAUGCGCAGAUAUCAGGAGGAACACCGAUGGCGAAGGCAGAUCUCUGGGCCGGUACUGACGCUGAGGAGCGAAAGCGUGGGGAGCGAACAGG
rnacentral:rRNA from 1 species